GCUCAAUUCGACAAACCAUCACAAUAUUUACAUAGGAUUAUUCUUUAAAAUCUUUUGGUGCCAGUAUGCUUCAUCUCCGAACUAUGGAAUGCACUUUUAUUUGAGAUUUGGCUUGCAUGUAUAUUUUUACUUUACAUUAUCAAAAAUCAAUUAUCAAACAUCAUCAAACCAUUUAGUACAAUGGACGAUAUACUUUGCAUAUCGUAAUUAUAGUCCAUGGUAAUGUACUUUUAGUACCUUAAAACCAUGACUAACACAUCAAAAUAGCCAUACUUGAUUUGCCUACUACAUAAGCCAUAUCUGAUCUAGUGCAUUUCUAUAAGAAGCCCCCACACAUUCAAUGUCUUAUUUAAGGAGUAAUUGCUAUUCAUUCUAGGCUCUACCAAUGUUCCAUCCAUCUCUGUAACUCAUGGCACCACAUUCUAAGGCUUUCAUACCUCACUAGCCAUUGUAGAAAAAGUACUUCUUGACUUUCAACCUUUGGCUCAAGAUGGUCAUGGGUCUAGAACCCCCACAAAGGAACAUUAUCUUCUUUUGAUUAUAGGC
rnacentral:lncRNA from 1 species